rnacentral:rRNA from 1 species
CCUACGGGAGGCUGCAGUAGGGAAUAUUGCUCAAUGGGGGAAACCCUGAUGCAGCAACGCCGCGUGGAUGAUGAAGUUUUUCGGUUUGUAAACCUCUUUUGUUAGAGAAGAUAAUGACGGUACCUAACUAAUAAGCACCGGCUAACUCCGUGCCAGCAGCCGCGGUAAUACGUAGGGUGCAAGCGUUAUCCGGAUUUACUGGGCGUAAAGAGAGCGUAGGCGGGAUAGCAAGUCAGAUGUGAAAUGCUAUGGCUUAACCAUAGGACUGCAUUGGAAACUGUUAUACUAGAGUAUGGGAGAGGUAGGUGGAAUUCUUGGUGUAGGGGUGAAAUGCGUAGAGAUCAAGAGGAACA